CCUACGGGAGGCAGCAGUGAGGAAUAUUGGUCAAUGGGCGCGAGCCUGAACCAGCCAAGUAGCGUGAAGGAUGACUGCCCUACGGGUUGUAACCUCCUUUUAUAAAGGAAUAAAGUGAGUCACGUGUGCAUGUUGUAUCUACUUUAUGAAUAAGAAUCAGCUAACUCUGUGCAAGCAUCCGCAGUAAUACUGAGGAUGCGAGCGUUCUCCGGAUUUAGUGGGAGUAACGGGAGAGUAGAUGGGUUGGUAUGACAGUUGUGAAAGUCUGCGGCUCAACCGUAAAAUGGCAAUUGUUACUGGUAGUUUUGAGUACAGUAGAGGUAGGCGGAAUUCGUGGUGUAGCAGUGAAAUGCUUAGAUAUCACGAAGAACUCCGAUUGCGAAGGCAGCUUACUAAAAUGCCACUGACAUUGAUGCUCGAAAGUGUGGGUAUCAAACAGGAUUAGAUACCCUGGUAGUC
rnacentral:rRNA from 1 species